rnacentral:tRNA from 1 species
GGAUGUAGCUUAGUGGUAAAGCACUUGUGUAGUAUGAAUGAGGUCCUGGGUUCAAUCCCCAGUACCA